CCAGCGAGCUCCUUACUUCUUGGUGUCGCUGCUGAAGAGCCCGAAGGCCGCGGGCGCCGAGGGGGUCACGGUGGGAGCCGCCUCCUGCGCCAGCUCGGGCGCCGCCUCUCCGCCCUGCUCGCUGUAGACGUUCCACUGAGUUAGGCUUCUCUUGAAAUACAUGCCUUGACAAUUGGAGUACUUCAAAUGUCCUACCGGAUCCUGAGAUUUUAAAGCAAGUCAAGCCACACUUACUAAGGACUUCAAUUUUGGUGUUGCUUGGAUACCGGCACAUCCUUCAUGUUCUACCUUUAAUCUACACUAGUGCAGGUAAUAUGUAUUGUGUUCAUGUUUGAUUUCUAAAGAUACUGCAAGUGAGUCAUUUGGCAGAAAUAAAGAGAUAGAUAAGAUUUAUAAAAAGAACAGGAGGUUUGUAAGAUCUCAGAGUGUUCCUGUAUCUUCCAGUCAUUUUAGAUCUCUCCUAAAGAACCUCUAUUCAGUUCUUGAGAUUGAGAUUGCUGGAUAAGCAGCAAUUACAAUAUGCGCAAUAAUAAAAAGAGAAAAGAGGCAAUUUUGAGCAACUGUCCAUAACAGAGAGAAGGCUAGUGUAUUGCAAGCACACUAUAACCACAUUGUGAUUUUCUUGCCAUGGAGUCAACUAUGCAUUAGUUCUGGUAUAGAUUACAGUGCUACCAGAACAGGUUUUACUGAUGUUGAAUGAAUAUAGCAUGCUUCUUUCCUCCAUAGCUGGAGAACAAUACCCUUCAAAAGUAACACCUUAUUUCUACAGCAUGCAGCAUAUAUUAUGUCAAACGGAGAAAAAAAAAAAAGGCAGAAAAGUGCCUGUUUAAGUAGAUCACAGAAUCAGAAGGGAUCAUCAAAUGGCUACGGUUGGCAAAGGCAACUCUAGGUCAUCUAUCCAACCUCCUAACACAAGCAGAUUUCCCUAGACCAACAGUACUUUGGAGUGUGUGCAGACAGCUUUUAAAUAAUCUCUUUUCUGGAGAAAUAGACUCCAUACCCUCUCUGAGCAAUCUGUUCCAGGUCUCAGGCACCCUCACCCUCAGUAAAGAAGUUCUUCCUCAUGUUCAAGUAGAAUUUCUGUGUUCCAUUUUCUGCCUAUUGCCUCUCGUCCUAUUGUUUGGAGUCUCUAAAAACAGCCUGGUCCAUCCUCUUGACACCCUCCCUUCAGAUACUUAUGCAUCAAUAGAUCCCAUCUCAGACUUCUCCAGGCUAACCAAAACCAGCUCCCUCUGCCCUUCCUAGUAAGUGGCAUGCUCCAGUCCUCCCAUCAUCUAUGUAGCUUCUGCGGGACCUGCUCCAGGAGCUCCAUGUCUCUGUUGUUCUGAGGAGCCUGGAACAUCUGGAGUGCUAUAUCCUCACCACUGCUGAAUAGAGGGGCAGGAUCACCUUCCAUGACCUGCUAGCAAUGCUCUUGCUAAUGCCUCCCAAGACAUGCAGCUGGCUCACGGACAGCUUCUUGUCCACCAGGACCCCCAGGUCCUUCUCCACAGUGCUGCUCCCCAGCAGGUCAGCCCCAGGCUGUGCUGGUGCCUGGGGUUGUUCCUCCCCAGGUGCAGGACCUUGUGCUUGCCUGUCAUCAGAGAUAGUGUCAAAAGACUUGCUGAAGUUGAGGUAGACUAUAUCCACUACUUUUCCCUCAUCCAUCCAGGUAUUUGCCUCAUUAUAGAAAGUAAUCAGGCUGAGCAACUGUGAUUUCUCCAUGUCGAUGACUCCUGAUCACCUUCUUAUCAUCCAUGUGGAUAAAGAUGAUCUCCACAAUGAAAUGCUCAGUUACUUUCCCAGGAAUUUAGGUGAGGCUGACUGCCUGGUAGUUUCCUAGAUCCUCCUUCUUGCCCCUUUUGAAGACCAGGGUGACAUUUGCUUUCUUCUAGUCCUCAGCACCUCUCCUGAUCUCCAUGACCUUUUAAAGAUGGUCUCACAAUGGUGUCCACCAGCUCUUUCAGCAGUCACGGAUAUAUCUGGUCAGGGUCUAUGGACUUGAGGAUGUUAAGUUUGACUAAAUAGUCUCUUACCUAAUCCUUUUCAAUCGAAGGAAAGUCCUUCUUUUUCCAAACCUUCUCCCUGAUCUUCUGGGUUAGAACUCCUUAAGGGGUGGCCUUGGCAGUGAAGACUGAAGCAAAGAUGGUGUUCAGUAAUUCUGCUUUCUCUUUAACCUCUGUCACUGGAGUCCCUGUUUCAUUCAGUAGCAGAUUCACAUUAUGCCUAAUACUCAUUUUGUUAUUGAUUAAUUGAUUUAUAGGUGUAUUUGAAAACAAAAUAUAAAGUGGAACAUGGAAGUAAAUAAGAGAAAGCAGAAAAUUUGUUUUAGAAACUGGAAUGAACAAAAAGGAAGAAUGAAGUCUCAGAAAAUUAUGGUGGCUCUUUCAGGUGAUGAUCACAGAAGAGAAAAUUCUUAACAAGAGUGUAAUAGGAUUUAUGUGAGAAACAUAGGAUAGUCUCUUAUUGCAGGAGAAACAAAGGGAAAAAUUAAAUGUGUAAUGCCAAAAAAUGGUUAGUCUUCACAUUUUCCUAAGGGUGAAACACUUGUGUUACUUAUCCUAAUAGAUUUUUUUUAAUGUAUGAUAAUUUAUGAAUAGUUUCUAGAAAGAACCUAAUUAACUGGUUGAGAAUAAUGUCUGUAAGCAAUUGCUACACUCAAGUGCACUUGUAUGUUAAAGGGGUGAAAAGAUCAAUAAAUUAUUUUCCUGGUGGACCAAGAAUGAGAAAGUUGAAAUAACAUUUUGGAAAUAAAACUAGAAAGAUAAUUUCAGAUAAGGGGGAAAAAAACCC